ACAGAGGGGGCAAGCGUUAUUCGGAAUUAUCGGGCGUAAAGGGCGCGUAGGCGGUGAUUUAAGUGAGAUGUGCAAUCCCCGGGCUUAACCUGGGAACUGCAUCUCAGACUGGGUCGCUAGAGUGCUGGAGAGGGUGGUGGAAUUCCACGUGGAGCGGUGAAAUGCGGAGAGAUGGGGAGGAGCAGCAGAGGCGAAGGCAGCCAACUGGACAGCAACUGAGGCUGAGGCGCGAAAGUGUGGGGAGCAAAAAG
rnacentral:rRNA from 1 species